UUAACGGUAAUGGAUAAUUAUAAAUUGCUUUGAUAGGUGUAUUAAACAAUGCGUGCUUGGGCUCCCCGGUGGCGAGUUGUGGUUCCCACACAGAGUGCGGGUGGUGGGGGGGGUUGAUGUCGGUACCAGAGGGAAAGCGGUAGGAACACGGGGGCAGGCACCAGCUUUCCCAAGGCGUUUAUCAGCCCAGCCCUGGCUCACUGCACAGCAGGCAUGCGGCCCGCAGACACGUGGAAAUUAAUGAUUAAGCCCCAAAUUUGGAAGCGAAGCCGUGGCGUUAGGAGAAGACAAGCCCAACGCGCCCCUCCAGCAGCAGGUGAAUCCUCCGCGCGGCGAUUUCGUCAAGCCAGUUCCUCCUGAAACAGGCCCAUUUGUCGGCGUCGCUGAGCACCUACAGUCCUGCUUGAAAUCAGCAGAAAGGCGGGAGCACGUCGCUCCGUGAGAGGAGAGGCUCCGUCAAUCGUGGAAAAAGGAAUUUGGCCUGAAGUCCCGUGAAGGCUGUGGAAAACUUCCAAGGGUUUCAUCUGGCUUUGUAUCGGUAUUUUGAGGGAACUGGGAGUGUUUCCUAGAAAAUGCGCACCCUUUCUCUCCCUUUUCACGUGGCUUUGGUGCCCAAACCACAACAUUUGGGUUUGCUGCUUUGUUUUUGUGCUGAACCCUUUCUGGUGUUGCGUUCUCCUGCCUUGUGUGGAUUUGGAGCUGCAGCUGAAGGAGCGGCGAGUCCCCGGAGUGACGUUACAUCCCAGCUUCAGCAACAUCCAACCCACCGUCCGAGGCGUGGCGGCGGGAAAAAGAAAGGAGAACCACUCGCCCUGGCUCCCGUUCCGUACCUGCAGAGCCGACUUCCAGAACUUGCAGGAAAUUCGAGAGGGACGUGAGCAGGAGCAGCAGUUAAAUGCCUUUGGUUCAUCUCAGAACCCGCAGCUGCUCAAGCCUGGACCCGUCUCUCGGAUGCCUGCGGGACUCUGAAGUGCUGCCAGCGAACCGAGAAGUCGGGACGCUCCGCCCAUGGCCCCGCGGUCUCCCUCCUCGGGAAGGUGAGAGGGAUGCCCAGAUGCCCUCAGAAAUGAAUUUCUGAUGAAAUUCCAGUAGUCUGAGGGCAAACUGUGGCUGUCGUUUCAGUAUUUUGGCAGUCGGAUUGCUAUGGGAUACGCAUCGCUCCGGUUACUUCUCUCCAUUCAAACCCUGACGGGGCCCCAUCCGUUGCUGCGAGUUCCUGGCCGAGUGCUGCCGUUCAAACACGCGGUCGCUUCACAGUAUCGGAUGGGGCCAAAUUUUCAUGCGUGUUGUCAGUCAUGUUCUCUAUAAACCACAAAGACCAUCCCACGGAGCCAUGCUGCUGGCUAUUUUUAUUUUAUUUUAUCACUACAGAGAGCAACCCGGCAAACUUAACCAUUUAUUUGGCAUGGCCAAGUGUUUACAUGCCCCCCAGCUAUAGCUUCAGAUGAGGAAAGUUUGCCUCAUAGCGCUCCAGAACUUGGCUUCUCAGUAGUGCCCGGUGACAGGACAAGGGGCAACGGGCACAAGCUGGAACACGGGAAGUUCCACCUAAACGUGAGGAGGAACUUCUUUGCUGUGAGGGUGGCAGAGCCCUGGCACAGGCUGCCCAGAGAGGUGGGGGAGUCUCCGUCUCUGGAGACAUUCCAACCCCGCCUGGACGCGUUCCUGUGCCACCUGCUGUGGGUGACCCUGCUCUGGCAGGGGGUGGGACGGGGUGAUCUCCAGAGGUCCCUUCCCACCCCCACCGUUCCGUGACUCUGUGGGGGAGCCAUAGGACAAGGGGGAAUGGUUUUAAACUGAGAGAGGGAAGAUUUAGAUGAGGUAUCAGGAAGAGAGUUAAAUGCCGGCUGUGUCUAAUUCAAUUUGGUCACUAUACAACCACGGUUAGCUCAGACUUUUCCCGGUCUUGCUGUUUUUUAAAAUAUAUUUAUAGGCAGUUCCUUUAUUCUAAAAUGGCCCUGAUUUUGGGAGCCGUUCUGCGGGAGAUAAGGGCCGAAGACAAGUGAGCGAGCUGAAAGAGCCGCACGUUAUUAACUCCUCCCGGUUUUUCAGGUUUCCCUUCAUUCAUGGGCGCACAAGGCUUUUUCUCUCGCGUGGCCUCCGUUUAUGGACAGGGCAGGCUCAGAAUCGGCCAUCAGACGGCAGGCAGUGAAUAACGAGUUAAGCUCGCGCACAGCAGUGGGUUUGUUUAAAGCGGUGUUUGCCGUGCAAAUAACACGAGCGAUCCAAGCGCGGUCGCGUCUCCUGGCUGUUUGCUGAACCUCUCCCUGCCCGUGGCUCCCGCUUGAGGGAAUGGUUUAAUACAGUCUAUUAAGCACUCAGACACCAAAAUUAAAGUGGAAUCUUCAUCAAAUAUCAGAUCCACUUGGUUCUUCCGACACACGCACCACCACCAACCCCCCCUUUAGACCUGUGUUUAUGAGGGUUUUAAAGUGCCGUGGGUCUCAGGAGGGGCCAGGGAAGUUGCACAAGAUGCUCCAACCUGAACGUGGCGGUUUGGAUCCCGGGUGCUUUUAAAGCAAAUUGACACUAUCGGGGAAAAAAAUAAAUAAAUAAUGCUGCUGCCACCUUGAAGAAGGUACAUAGUUUGAUAGAAUUGUAUAUUACUCAUUAAACAGCUUCUUUAAUACUUAAAUCCGCUUAUUAUCAAAUGAUGUGUUCAUAUGUCUGUAGUUUAAACGGCUUGAACUUUGUUCUUGAACGGGUUUGGGCUGUGCCAGGAGGUGCCUGUUAAAUUUACUGCCCUGGGAGCUGCCCCCACCUCGCCUGGCCUAAAAUAAACCCACAAAGGAAUAUGAAACGAGCUUCUCCCAGGCCGUUUGUAAAGGGGGGGAGGUGUUACGGUUUUCUUCCCUACCAUCUAAGUAUCUAAAUCGCCUUCCACACGACACCUGGGGCUGAUAUUCUGCAGCUGUAAAGAACCCUGUUGAGAACCCUCCUUCCUAUUGAUGGUGCCUCCGUCCUGCGUACAGGUGAUGUGACGUGGGUUUAACGCGCUGGAGUUUAUUGCUGCAUGACGACUAAUAAAGUAUUUAGAAGGGUUCA